AACGCGAAGAACCUUACCUGGGCUUGAACUACUCGUGGUAGUUCGAUGGAAACAUUGAGCGACCCGCAAGGGAGCGAGCAGAGGUGCUGCAUGGUUGUCGUCAGCUCGUGUCGUGAGAUGUUGGGUUAAGUCCCGCAACGAGCGCAACCCUCGCCCUUAGUUGCCAUCAUUCAGUUGGGCCCUCUAAGGGGACUGCCGGUGAUAAGCCGCGAGGAAGGUGGGGAUGACGUCAAGUCCUCAUGGCCCUUACGGGCUGGGCUACACACGUGCUACAAUGGCGGUGACAGUGGGACGCAAUGGGGCAACCCUGCGCAAAUCUCAAAAAGCCGUCUCAGUUCGGAUUGCACUCUGCAACUCGAGUGCAUGAAGUUGGAAUCGCUAGUAAUCGCAGAUCAGCACGCUGCGGUGAAUACGUUCCCGGGCCUUGUACACACCGACGCAC
rnacentral:rRNA from 1 species